AAGUCGUAACAAGGUUUCCGUAGGUGAACCUGCGGAAGGAUCAUUACCAAAUCCAAAACUUUAUCAACACCAAACAAGUGAACUGAGAAUGGUUUCGUUCCCCUCUGCAUGUGCACACAAUGUGUUUCCACAUUCGUGCGUGUGCGAAGGGGGAUGUUGUUUUUUCAACCCCUUUUCAACCUCUUACAAUCUUUUAUGCUGAAAGCAAAAAAAGAAACAUGAGACAACUUUUAACGGUGGAUCUCUUGGCUCGU
rnacentral:misc_RNA from 1 species